rnacentral:rRNA from 1 species
AUUAAGGGUGCAGGGCGGAUGCCUUGGCACUAGGAGCCGAUGAAGGACGUGAUAAGCUGCGAUAAGCUUCGGGGAGUUGCACGUAAACUUUGAUCCGAAGAUUUCCGAAUGAGGAAACUCACUUAGAGUAAUGUCUAAGUAUCAUUAAGUGAAUACAUAGCUUAAUGAGGGGAACUCAGGGAACUGAAACAUCUAAGUACCUGAAGGAAGAGAAAGAAAUUCGAUUCCGUAAGUAGCGGCGAGCGAACGCGGAUUAGCCCAAACCAAUAAAGUUUUCUUUAUUGGGGUUGCGGACAUAUCAUAACGGAGAGGUAUCGUAAUUGAAGAGGUUUGGAAAGACCCACCACAGAAGGUAAUAGUCCUGUAUGUUAAACGAGAAGACUUUAGAUAUGAUCCAGAGUACCACGGGACACGUGAAACCCUGUGGGAAGCAGGAGGGACCACCCUCCAAGGCUAAAUACUACCUAGUGACCGAUAGCGUAUAGUACCGUGAGGGAAAGGUGAAAAGAACCCCGGGAGGGGAGUGAAAUAGAACCUGAAACCCUGCACUUACAAGCUGUGGAAGCACAUUUCUUGUGUGACCGCGUACUUUUUGUAGAACGGGCCAACGAGUUACGUUAAGUAGCAAGGUUAAGCACUUAAGGUGCGGAGCCGUAGCGAAAGCGAGUUUUAACUGAGCGUUCAGUUACUUGACGUAGACCCGAAACCGGGCGACCUACCCAUGAGCAGGAUGAAGCGAAAGUAAAAUUUCGUGGAGGUCCGAACCCACGAGCGUUGAAAAGCUCGGGGAUGACUUGUGGGUAGCGGUGAAAUUCCAAUCGAGCCCGGAGAUAGCUGGUUCUCCCCGAAAUAGCUUUAGGGCUAGCCUCAAGGUGAGAGAUACGGAGGUAGAGCACUGAAUGUCCUAGGGGGUAUUGCACCUACCGAAGACUAUCAAACUCCGAAUGCCGUCAUCUUAUACUUGGGAGUCAGACUGUGGGUGAUAAGAUUCAUAGUCGAAAGGGCAACAGCCCAGAUCGUCAGCUAAGGUCCCUAAAUGUAAGUUAAGUGGUAAAGGAUGUGGGAUUGCACAGACAACCAGGAUGUUGGCUUAGAAGCAGCCACUCAUUCAAAGAGUGCGUAAUAGCUCACUGGUCGAGUGAUCCUGCGCCGAAGAUUUCCGGGGCUAAAACUUACUACCGAAGCUACGGCAUCAGUAAUGAUGGGUAGGGGAGCUUCCCAUACGGGUUGAAGCAUGACCGUAAGGACAUGUGGACAGUAUGGGAGUGAGAAUGUUGGCAUGAGUAGCGAGAUGUGGGUGAGAAUCCCACAGGCCGUAAACCCAAGGUUUCCAGGGGAAGGUUCGUCCGCCCUGGGUUAGUCGGGACCUAAGCUGAGGCCGAAAGGCGUAGGUGAUGGACAACAGGUUGAU